CCUACGGGAGGCAGCAGUGGGGAAUAUUGCACAAUGGGGGAAACCCUGAUGCAGCGACGCCGCGUGAGUGAAGAAGUAUCUCGGUACGUAAAGCUCUAUCAGCAGGGAAGAAAAUGACGGUACCUGACUAAGAAGCCCCGGCUAACUACGUGCCAGCAGCCGCGGUAAUACGUAGGGGGCAAGCGUUAUCCGGAUUUACUGGGUGUAAAGGGAGCGUAGACGGCAGGACAAGUCUGGAGUGAAAUCCCGGGGCCUAACCCCGGAACUGCCUUGGAAACUGUGCGGCUGGAGUGCAGGAGGGGUAAGCGGAAUGCCUGGUGUAGCGGUGAAAUGCGUAGAUAUUAGGAGGAACACCGGUGGCGAAGGCGGCAUACUGGACUGUAACUGACGUUGAGGCUCGAAAGCGUGGGGAGCAAACAGGAUUAGAUACCCGGGUAGUC
rnacentral:rRNA from 1 species